CAGAGAAGUAGGCAGAGGUAAAGGUUGGAACGAUGCGGCUGUAAGCCAAAGAAUGCCAGAUUGCCAGCAAACCACCAGCAUCUAGGAGAUGGGUCAGGAACAGUUCAACCUUCUGAGCAAUCGAGAAGGAGCCAACCCUGUACAAAUCUUGAUUUAGGACUCUUGGCUUCCAGAACUGUGAGAUAAUAUUUUUCUGUUGUUUUAAGACACUCAGUUUAUGGUAUCUUGCUAUGGCAGCCCUACAAAAUGGAUAUAUGUGGGAAUGAAUGGCUAUUUUUCUUUCUAUUUGAAGUUAAAAGACGAAGCAAUCGGAGUUUUAAAGAGAGAAACAAUUCCUGGGAUAGCAUUAGGAUCAUUGGAUAACUGUGUCUUGCUCUUUGCUUCUGACGGGCGUCCUCAUUUUGUACGUGUGCACACCCAUUUUACUAAUGAGUUUCGAGUUGAUCUUCAGCGUGGGGCUCCACAGACAAUGUGACAUAUCUCCCAAGCCAGGUAAAAUAACAUGGAGCAAACAUAAACAGAUAAAACUAAAACACAGAAUGUAAAGGUAGAUUCAAAGUUGUAGCUCACACUUGCAUGUCUCUCUGUCCCUUUCUCCCUGUCUUCUUUGUGCUGUUUUGCUUUCGAACAACCAUGGAAUGGGAUGCCCAAUUUUGAGUCAUUGUAUACAAUGAAUUCUAAAUCAGUUCCUAAAAUCUGUUUUAUUUUUAUGGAAAAUUGUUGUGUCUGUGACUGCCAACAAAAAGGUUUAUUUGCAUAUUUCAAAAGAAUCCUGAAAGCAAUUUAUUUUUGAAUGCAUGUUUAUAUGCAUAUGCAGGAAUGCUAUUAAAAUGUUAAACAACUGAUCAACUCAGGUAUUAGACUUUCAGAGAAGCCACUGACAGAAACUACGGAAACAGGCAUAUCUAGGGACGCUGAAUGGCUAUCAGACGUGUUGCACAUACGUUAGCCUAUGUGCAUGUAUGUGCAUGUAUUAGAUGUGUUUCAGAUUCAACUAUAAAUGAAAUAUAGAACUAAUGGAAUGCUGAGGUUGUAGUUUAUUCUUUCAAAACACCAAAUACUGUCUCUAAUUUCUUUGCCAUUCUGAAAGUUCCUUAAAGAAAGGGAUUGAGGCCAGGUGCGGUGGCUGACGCUUGUAAUCCC
rnacentral:lncRNA from 1 species